rnacentral:rRNA from 1 species
CUAAGGCUCCGGAGGAAGCCACGGCUAACUCUGUGCCAGCAGCCGCGGUAAUACAGAGGCGGCAAGCGUUGUUCGGAAUUAUUGGGCGUAAAGAGCACGUAGGCGGCUAUGUAAGUCGGUUGUGAAAGCCUUCCGCUCAACGGAAGAACAGCACCCGAUACUACAUGGCUUGAGUGCGGGAGGGGAGAGUGGAACUUCUGGUGGAGCGGUGAAAUGCGUAGAUAUCAGAAGGAACGCCGGCGGCGAAAGCGGCUCUCUGGCCCAUAACUGACGCUGAGUGUGCGAAAGCUAGGGGAGCAAACGGGAUUAGAUACCCCGGUAGUCCUAGCCGUAAA